AUCUGUCCAUAUUUGUGAGCAUGUGUUCUACCAGUCUGGUGGUGAUUACUUUCCAACCUUUUAAUGGGCCUCUGGUUUUAAAGAAAAAAAUGAGAAAGGUUUUCUUUACAGGAAAAAACGAAUAAAGCAGCAUGAUUAAAAAUAUUAAUUUCUUAAAGACCUGAUACAAAGUUUUAAGUGUAGGAAUUAAGAGAAAUUUAAAAACAGAAAUAAAAGCAAAGAAGAUAUAUUGUAAUUUCUCUUCAAGAGCAAACCAGGAAAAGGAACCUCAAAUUCAAUGAUGAGCCCUAAAAGAGGCCUAGGUGGGAGAAUCCUUUGGAGUGGAUUGAUCUCUACAUUGCUUCAGUUCCCAGAACAUCUCACCCUCUCCUAUGUUCAUUAGCCAGAUUAAACCCAUUUUUCAUAUAAUAAUACAUAUUGAGCACUUAUCAGGUUCCAGGGCACUCUGUUAGGUGCUGGGGAUACUGUUAUAAACAAGAUUAGCUGAGUUUCUGUUUUUAGGGAGCUUACAGUCUGAUGAGAAAGAUUAGCAAUGGCAUUAAAGUAGGAGCAGUCUGAUUUCUCAAAAUGCAAAAGCCUCUGCUCUUGACCAUCUCUUUUUUUUCCACUCUCCAUCUUUGCCUGAUUCCAUUCAUAACUGGCUUAAAUCCCUACAGGAUUACUUCCAUGUCCAGUUGGUUGGAUUCUAUAGGCACAUAAAGAGCUUUAUCUUUCAAGUUGAACUAUUAUCUCUCUCUCUCCCCCAACCAUUUUUUUUAUAACUAGUAGUCUAAGAGUCAUUCUGGCUUCUAAUUUAAUGCCCAUAUUCAAUCAAUUGCCAAAUUCUAUAAUUCUACCUCCAAAGCCUUCUCAUAUCCAUUCUCUUCUCUCUAUCCAAUAUCUUAAAUAGCUUUACUAUCUCUAGACACACUGCUUUCCAAAUUACCUUUCAAACUACUGCAGAGUAUUCUUUAAAAUGUGCAAAUCAGAGCUUGGCAUUCCCCAGCACAGAAUUCUUCAGAACUUAAUGCCUACAAAAUAGAAUCUAAUUUCAUAUGCAGAGACCUUACCUACUUGUCCAAUCUAAUAUUCUGCAAAAUGCUGUGAAAAAAAAAAAACCAAACUAUUUGAUUUCAGGUCUUGAUUUAGAAAUCGUAAGUGGAACAACUAUCAAAUUUAAGUUCUAAUGUUUUUAUUUAAUUAGAUCAGUUUGGUUUCCUGUUAAGUCUCUGAUCAAAUGUCAGACUCUCUUUGUAGCAAUUGUAUGGGAGGCAAAAAUGGAAGAUUAAAACUGCUAUUUGACUGAGUAAGACAUAGGUGUGUCUUUCCAGGUACACUCUACACCCUUCUGCUCUGUGCUCUGAGAUACUGACUGUAUAGAUUGCUCCUAUUGGGUUCAGCCAUAGAGAGCAUUGCAGGAAAUCAGAACCAGAGAGGAUAACUCUAUAUCAGUGUGUAGCCACUUGGCUCCUCCCAAUCCUGUGGGAUUGCCAUGGGCUGGUGGUACUCUAUAAUAAAGUUAUUAGAUCCUCCUGGGCAGCAGUCUCCACAGAGCCCUCUUUGCCUCCUGGUUCCACAGCUCCUCAUAAGACCUUUCAGGACCGGUCUAGCAAGAGCUCUCCACUGUUUUUGGCUCCAUAGAUACUGUAUUAUGAACUGUGAUUUCCUUAAGCUUCUCGCUUUUGUAAAUCCCUUUAUUAAACACUCUU
rnacentral:lncRNA from 10 species